rnacentral:tRNA from 1 species
UCCCAGGUGGCUCAGUGGGUAAAGAAUCUGCUUGCUAUGCAGGAGACACUGGUUCGAUCCCUGGGUUGGGAA